UGGAUGUAGGCGAAACUGCUGUAAGAGAACCACCAUCCUCCAUUGCACUAUUGGAAAAUCUGAAAGUGUUGUCUUUUCGUGGAAGUAAACCAAUAGCAUUUCAUUGGCUCUACAAGUGGUCCAUAUAUCGAAAAACACCUGAUCGUGUGGGUUUCUCAUUGCCUUCUUUAGAAGGUUUACACUCUCUAAAAGAACUAGACCUCAGUGACUGCAA
rnacentral:misc_RNA from 1 species